rnacentral:rRNA from 1 species
AGGUCAGCAUACUGCCGUGAAUACGUUCCCGGGCCUUGUACACACCGCCCGUCACACCAUGAGAGUUGGAAAUACCCGAAGCCUGUGAGCUAACAGUAAUGAGGCAGCAGUCGAAGGUAGAGCCAAUGAUUGGGGUGAAGUCGUAACAAGGUACC